CUAUGUUGUACCAUUAUUUUAGGAUAAUUGACUACGUGAAGUCCACUAUGGAGCGUCUAUAAUCUUUAGUGUAUAUGUAUCUUUAUUAUCUUGUUAUGAGUGUAAUCUUUAUAUGUAUCUUUAGUGAAUGUUAUAAAUGUUGAAUGGUGUAAUUUUUAUGUGAAUUAUUUUUAUCUUUAUGAAGGCUGAUUGGUGAAAUUAUGAAUAUUGAUAAAGUUCUUUAUCUAAUACAAAGACCUAUGUCCAUUUCUCACGCAAUAAUUUAUUUAUCUAAUGUUUUUUGUAAGGCCUAAAUAUUAUAAUCACAUUAACUCUAUUUUUCCCCUACCUAAUAUUGAUC
rnacentral:lncRNA from 1 species